rnacentral:rRNA from 1 species
AGAAUCAACGCUGGCGGCGUGCCUAACACAUGCAAGUCGAACGAGAAAGUGGAGCAAUCCAUUAGUAAAGUGGCGCACGGGUGAGUAACACGUGACUAACCUACCCUUGAGUGGGGGAUAACCUAGGGAAACCUGGGCUAAUACCGCAUAAUACCUUCGGGUCAAAGGAGCAAUUCGCUUAAGGAGGGGUCGCGGCCGAUUAGUUAGUUGGCGGGGUAAUGGCCCACCAAGACGAUGAUCGGUAU